AUUGAACGCUGGCGGCAUGCUUUACACAUGCAAGUCGAACGGCAGCGCGGGCUUCGGCCUGGCUGCGAGUGGCGAACGGGUGAGUAAUGCAUCGGAACGUGCCCAGUAGUGGGGGAUAGCCCGGCGAACGCCGGAUUAAUACCUCAUACGACCUGAGGGUGAAAGCGGGGGACCGAAAGGCCUCGCGCUAUUGGAGCGGCCGAUGCCGGAUUAGCUAGUUGGUGGGGUAAAGGCUUACCAAGGCGACGAUCCGUAGCUGGUCUGAGAGGACGACCAGCCACACGGGGAGGGGGCCACGGCCCAGACUCCUGCGGGAGGGAGCAGUGGGGAAUUGUGGGCAAUGGGGGCAACCCUGAUACAGGCAUGCGGCGUGCGGGAAGAAGGCCUCCGGGUGGUAAACCGCUUUUGUUCGGGAAGAAAUCCUCUGGGCUAAUACCCCGGGGGGAUGACGGUACCGGAAGAAUAAGCACCGGCUAACUACGUG
rnacentral:rRNA from 1 species